rnacentral:lncRNA from 1 species
UGAGAAAUCCUCGCAUUGCUCCCUACCUACUGGAGCUGCCUACAGGCACAAAGGAAAAUCGGAAAAUAUUCUUCCAUGACCGUAAUAUCCCUUCAGGAACAGAAGGUGGCAGACGAGUUUGCUUUGAGUGCCUGGCACAAGAAGCUGUGGUGUUACCCAAAACUUUACAAGCUUUUGAUUUCUCAGUGCACAGCAUCACGGCAGUGUGUCUGUACUGAACCCCACAACUAGACAAAAUCCCUCGGGUUUAGGGGUGAAAUCCCUCGAGUUUGGUCAUAUCUUUAGAGAGGGGAGCAAGUAGUGAGGCUAUAAAAGGUCUGCAGUGAGAAAUGAGGCACCUGGAAGGGGGUUUCUGCUCUGGCAGAAGCAGAAACCAGCAGCAGCAGCAGGCUGCCCUGCUGGGAGGGUGGAGGCAAUGGCUCAGAGAUGACAGUUCCAUUUUUCAAAGGAGAAGGAAAGGUUGCUCACCGCUUUACUUCCUGCAGCAGCAAAAUUUUCAGGCGUGGGACUGGCAAAACAAAGAGUUACUUGCACUCUUCCUUCUCCAGUCCUGGCUUGGCACUGUGGGAUGA